CUGGUUUUGCAUGGAGAAGCAGAACAUGAUGAAGCAUUUUUCUCCCCCAUUUAAAGAUCCAGUCAUGUUCCAGUUUGCAGGGGCAGAAGGGCUGGUUUGCAGUUGGUGCUGGGAGGAUAGAGUUUCUUCCACAGAAUUAUCUCACUAAAUAACUCUCGCUAAAGCCUAACAAGACUUGUCAUCAAGCCCAUUUUCCGGAGGGAGAAACCGAGACUCCAAGAACUACAGAACCUAUUUCUGUGUCUCAAUACGUAGGCCGGCUCUCCGACUUGACGGAAUCGCUCUGGCAACAGCGCCCUCUAAAGGCGGAGGCGAGUAUGCCUGCGUAACAGUCGUGCCCCGUCCUUUGGCGCUGGAAAUGGCGGAGGGCUCCCUCUGGCUUCUGAGGAUUGUCCAGCGCCCCUCCGAGGUCCUGGAGAAGCCAGGAGCGCUGCCUACAACUCGGCCUUGACUUCCCCGCAGCCUUGGUCGCCGCAGCAUUGGGUCAGAGGCAUCCCUGGAGAUUGCAGAAAGUUAGCGGCGGCCCCUGUUGACGCAGCGAGUGACGGCCCGACAUACCCUGAUAGGCCACGGGGAGGGCCAGACGCAGAGCCUUGAAAGAAGGAGCUUGCGCUCUGGAAGGGGCGUGGCCAGCGCUCUUCCUCGAGGGCGGGGCUCUAGGGGAAGGGGCUCUUCUCUGGGAUAUUGUGCCACAAGCGAGGACACCCGUGCACCUAGCCCAGGGCCUGUGUCCUGGCGUCAGCGCAUCUGUGGGCAGCAACUUUACCCUCCCCAGACCUCAGUUUCUGCACCUGUAAGACGGAGGCUCUUCCACAACUGCAAAAAUCGGAGUUUCAUCCAGCAUUCUCAGAAUUCCUGUCUCCAGGCAGGCACUGAGGAAUCAGAGCUGCGUUCCUGUGGAGGCUCAGAGCUCUGAGAUCUCCUUCACUUGCUGCAUCAGUACUCCUGACACUGGAGAGUUCUGGAGGUUGGAGACCAGCCCCUUCCUGGUGGAACAGGCACCCUGUAGCCUGGGAUGUGACAGUCAUAUGACAGGGCCUGUAACAAGUAACAGUGGUAGCCCAAAUAUGUCGAGCACUUACUAUAUGCCUGGCUUUUCAUGAAGUCUGUCGCAUACGUUAUUUACACCCCCACCCGCACAGCCGUGUCUGGUGGUCCUGUUCUUGACAUCCUGUUUACUGAUGAGCCCAGAGUCACACAAUAGUAGCCAGUCCAAGGUCACCCAGCUAAUAAAUGGCUGAAGCAGUAGUCCACAGUCUCAUCCACUGUUCCGUACCAAAAAAAAAAAAUGUUUAACCUGGAAGGGAGAUGGCAGAGGGGGAAAAUUACAAGAUCCUACCAGUGUUAAUCUAUACCACGAGUUGAGCCCUUAGUAUGUGUUGGAAGCUGGCCUACAGAUCAGCACCAUUUAUACUCCUGACAGUGACCUUAUACUAUAGGGUUGUUAUUUCCACUUCUGAGAGGUCAUCUCAUAUGUCUCUGGUCACACUGCUAGUACAAAACUGGAACUUUGAGUUUAAUGGAUGGUACACUCAGCCUGCCUGUAUAUCACUCUUAGGAAGACCCCACUCUUCUCUGAGCCUGUUUCCCGUUCUGCACAAUGAGAGGUUUGGACCAGAAGGCUCUGGACAUUGUUUCCUGAGCUCACAUUCUUUGAUUUUAGGAGCAUUGACAUGAUGUCCAGAGUCCUGGGUUUGUUCCUAAUUAUCUAUGACUUGGGAACGCCUCGGCCUAAUCCCUUGCAUCUCUGGGCCUCAGUUUCCCCCUUUGUAAAAUGUGGAGAUGAGAAAGUCUCAAUCACCAAGGGACCUUCUGGCUUUAAUAUUUUAUGACUGCAAAUGAAGAGACAAGCUGAGGUUCAGCAAAUUGUGCAUCCUCUGAGAAAUUCUAAUGAAUGUGAUUCUGCCACCUUGCUCAAAACAUUCCUGGUGCAAGGCUUCCAAGGACAGAUGCCCAUGUAGGUCAAGGGGAACAGCCACCUCCAGAUAAUCAGCAUUAACUGCUGGAGGAGGCUCACUCUCCUGAUGGUCCAAAAUCCACCCCUGUGGUCAGACCAGCUUAAGACUGAAUGCCAGCACUUCCCCCUGGGCACCUCAGAGAAGUGACCCUUUCUGUGCCUUAGUUUCUACAUCUGUAAAAUAGGGUGCUAACAGGACCAGCUUCAUUUGAGAUUUGAUGGAAAAACAUGUGCAAAAAGCCUAACAUGGACAUUCCCUGGUGGCUCAGUGGGUUAAGGACCUGGCAUUGUCACUGUCGUGGCACAGGUUUGAUUCCUGGCCCAGGAACUUCCUCAUGCCAAGGGUACAACCCCAAAAAAAAGCCUAACAUGCUACUUCUGGCUUAGGAAAACCCCCAAUAAAUACAACUGUUACC
rnacentral:lncRNA from 1 species